rnacentral:rRNA from 1 species
CUGGCUCAGGAUGAACGCUAGCGGCAGGCCUAACACAUGCAAGUCGCGGGGCAGCACGGGUAGCAAUACCUGGUGGCGACCGGCGCACGGGUGCGUAACGCGUAUGCAACCUGCCCCCAUCAGGGGAAUAGCCCGCCGAAAGGCGGAUUAAUGCCCCAUAGGCCCAGGGCGCCGCAUGGCGCUAUGGGUAAAGCUCCGGCGGAUGGGGAUGGGCAUGCGUGCCAUUAGCUAGUUGGGGCGGUAACGGCGCACCAAGGCGACGAUGGCUAGGGGGUCUGAGAGGAUGGUCCCCCACACUGGUACUGAGACACGGACCAGACUCCUACGGGAGGCAGCAGUGAGGAAUAUUGGUCAAUGGGCGGAAGCCUGAACCAGCCCACGCCGCGUGCAGGAUGACGGCCCUACGGGUUGUAAACUGCCUUUUCCCCGGGAAGAAUAACGCCCCUCGUGAGGGGUGGUGCCGGUACCGGGGGAAUAAGGAUCGGCUAACUCCGUGCCAGCCGCAGC